rnacentral:rRNA from 1 species
GACGAACGCUGGCGGCGUGCUUAACACAUGCAAGUCGAACGGAAAGGCCCUGCUUGCAGGGUACUCGAGUGGCGAACGGGUGGGUAACACGUGGGUGAUCUGCCCUGCACUUCGGGAUAAGCCUGGGAAACUGGGUCUAAUACCGGAUAGGAGCCAUUUUUAGUGUGAUGGUUGGAAAGUUUUUUCGGUGUAGGAUGAGCUCGCGGCCUAUCAGCUUGUUGGUGGGGUAAUGGCCUACCAAGGCGGCGACGGGUAGCCGGCCUGAGAGGGUGGACGGCCACAUUGGGACUGAGAUACGGCCCAGACUCCUACGGGAGGCAGCAGUGGGGAAUAUUGCACAAUGGGCGCAAGCCUGAUGCAGCGACGCCGCGUGGGGGAUGACGGCCUUCGGGUUGUAAACUCCCUUCGCUAGGGACGAAGCUUUUUGUGACGGUACCUAGAUAAGAAGCACCGGCUAACUACGUG